rnacentral:rRNA from 1 species
CAGCAGCCACGGGAAUGCGAACCGUGCGAACGUUAUUCGGAAUCACUGGGCUUAAAGCGCGUGUAGGCGGGCCGCCACGUCGGCUGCUGAAAUCCCCCGGCUCAACCGGGGAAGUGGCACCGAUACGAGCGGCCUGGAGGGGGGUAGGGGGGACUGGAACUUCCGGUGGAGCGGUGAAAUGCGUUGAGAUCGGAAGGAACGCCCGUGGCGAAAGCGAGUCCCUGGACCCUUACUGACGCUGAGACGCGAAAGCCAGGGGAGCGAACGGGAUUAGAUACCCCCGUAGUCCCUGUCUCUUAUU